GAUGAACGCUAGCGGCAGGCUUAACACAUGCAAGUCGAGGGGUAUUAGGAGCUUGCUCCUAAGAGACCGGCGCACGGGUGCGUAACGCGUAUGCAACCUACCUUGAACAGGGGGGUAGCCCAGAGAAAUUUGGAUUAAUACCCCAUGGUAUAUUAGAAUGGCAUCAUUUUAUUAUUAAAGUCACAACGGUUCAAGAUGGGCAUGCGUCCCAUUAGCUAGAUGGUAAGGUAACGGCUUACCAUGGCUACGAUGGGUAGGGGUCCUGAGAGGGAGACCCCCCACACUGGAACUGAGACACGGACCAGACUCCUACGGGAGGCAGCAGUGAGGAAUAUUGGUCAAUGGGCGCAAGCCUGAACCAGCCAUGCCGCGUGCAGGAUGAAGCAUCUAUGGUGUGUAAACUGCUUUUAUACGGGAAGAAACCCUGCCACGUGUGGCAGAUUGACGGUACCGUAGGAAUAAGGAUCGGCUAACUCCGUGCCAGCCGCCGCGGUAA
rnacentral:rRNA from 1 species